CUCUGCUGUAUAUAUGGAGACCCUUCAUGUUGUGUGCUUUUCAUUAUUGUGCAUGCAGUUAUAAUUCAGGCAUACGCUAAGCAGAAGUUUCAGGACCGUUCAAAGGAUUAGGCGUUCUUCUUUCGUGUGGUCGCAGUGUGUCACUGGAUCAAGUCUGUAUCCGGAUCAGAUGGUGGAGACAACUCUACAGAGCUGAAUGUCAGCAGAGACCAUGUCAACUAGAUGAGCCCCAAAGACAGAUCCCCAGUGAAGACCUCAUUAACUAUACAGCCAUUGACACAAAACCUCAGCAAAGACCACAAUGACAAACACCAUGUUGCUUCAUCUGGACAGGUUUUUCUCCAUUCUUGGCUUGCUUAAUUUGGGACAAUUAAUUUUUGGGUGUAUU